rnacentral:misc_RNA from 1 species
GAUGAAGAACGCAGCGAAAUGCGAUAAGUAGUGUGAAUUGCAGAAUUCAGUGAAUCAUCGAAUCUUUGAACGCACAUUGCGCCUCCUGGUAUUCCGGGAGGCAUGCCUGUUCGAGCGUCAUCAAAAACCUCAACCCAUGAUUUAUUGUGAGUUGGUUCUGCAUUGGACUCCUUGUGGGUCCUUUGCGAAAUCCAAUGGCGAAGAGCCACGCAACCAAAGCGUAGUAUAACUAUUUCGUUAUGGAAGCGUGGGUGCCUCUGCCGUAACCCCCAAUUUCUUAGUUUUUGACCUCGGAUCAGGUAGGGAUACCCGCUGAACUUAAGCAUAUCAAUAAGCGGAGGA